AACAGGAUUAGAUACCCUGGUAGUCCACGCCGUAAACGAUGUCGACUUGGAGGUUGUGCCCUUGAGGCGUGGCUUCCGGAGCUAACGCGUUAAGUCGACCGCCUGGGGGGUACGGCCGCAAGGUUAAAACUCAAAUGAAUUGACGGGGGCCCACACAAGCGGUGGAGCAUGUGGUUUAAUUCGAUGCAACGCGAAGAACCUUGCCUACUCUUGACAUCCAGAGAACUUAGCAGAGAUGCUUUGGUGCCUUCGGGAACUCUGAGACAGGUGCUGCGUGGCUGUCGUCAGCUCGUGUUGUGAAAUGUUGGGUUAAGUCCCGCAACGAGCGCAACCCUUAUCCUUUGUUGCCAGCGGUUAGGCCGGGAACUCAAAGGAGACUGCCAGUGAUAAACUGGAGGAAGGUGGGGAUGACGUCAAGUCAUCAUGGCCCUUACGAGUAGGGCUACACACGUGCUACAAUGGCAUAUACAAAGAGAAGCGACCUCGCGAGAGCAAGCGGACCUCAUAAGGUAUGUCGUAGUCCGGAUUGGAGUCUGCAACUCGACUCCAUGAAGUCGGAAUCGCUAGUAAUCGUGGAUCAGAAUGCCACGGUGAAUACGUUCCCGGGCCUUGUACACACCGCCCGUCACACCAUGGGAGUGGGUUGCAAAAGAAGUAGGUAGCUUAACCUUCGGGAGGGCGCUUACCACUUCGUGAUUCAUGACUGGGGUGAAGUCGUAACAAGGUAACC
rnacentral:rRNA from 1 species